rnacentral:rRNA from 1 species
ACGAACGCUGGCGGCGUGCCUAAUACAUGCAAGUAGAACGCACAGUUUAUACCGUAGCUUGCUACACCAUAGACUGUGAGUUGCGAACGGGUGAGUAACGCGUAGGUAACCUGCCUGGUAGCGGGGGAUAACUAUUGGAAACGAUAGCUAAUACCGCAUAAUAUUAAUUAUUGCAUGAUAAUUAAUUGAAAGGUGCAAUUGCACCACUACCAGAUGGACCUGUGUUGUAUUAGCUAGUAGGUGAGGUAACGGCUCACCUAGGCGACGAUACAUAGCCGACCUGAGAGGGUGAUCGGCCACACUGGGACUGAGACACGGCCCAGACUCCUACGGGAGGCAGCAGUAGGGAAUCUUCGGCAAUGGACGAAAGUCUGACCGAGCAACGCCGCGUGAGUGAAGAAGGUUUUCGGAUCGUAAAGCUCUGUUGUAAGAGAAGAACGGGUGUGAGAGUGGAAAGUUCACACUGUGACGGUAUCUUACCAGAAAGGGACGGCUAACUACGUG